rnacentral:rRNA from 1 species
GAUCGGACGGAAUAUUGGACAAUGGGUGAGAGCCUGAUCCAGCCAUCCCGCGUGAAGGAUGACGGCCCUAUGGGUUGUAAACUUCUUUUGUAUAGGGAUAAACCUAGAUACGUGUAUCUAGCUGAAGGUACUAUACGAAUAAGCACCGGCUAACUCCGUGCCAGCAGCCGCGGUAAUUA